GGGAAAGGCGCGUCGCGCGCUCCCUGAGGGCUGAGGCGGGACCGGCCCCUCAGGGGAGAGCCGGGGCGGGACCCGCGGAAUCAGGGAAUAGAACGAAGUAAACCCACCCUCCCCCGCCGAAGCCAGGGUUUCAUCGCUGUAAGUCGGCAGUGUCGGAUUGCUCAGUUUGUUUGUCGUCCCAACACACGUAGUGAGGUGUCAGUCCAGUCAUGAUGGACAUCAGAAAGUAUUUCCCCUCCGCAUUUCUGCUCGAAAGAUGACAAGAUGGACAAGGAGGAGAAAGAAGUGCCUGUCAUUCAGCAAGGACAGCAAAGGAUCCUGAAAGCUGAACAGUGUUUCCAUUGUUUUAACACAAGCUCCGCUUCUCCACUGGAAGAUCCAAAUGACAAGGACACUGAGGGUUUCUUUCUCUUUGCUGUUUGUUUCCCUAGUAACAAAUACACAAGCUGCACUGUUAGAAUACCA